rnacentral:rRNA from 1 species
UACAGAGAUCCCAAGCGUUGUUCGGAUUCACUGGGCGUAAAGGGUGCGCAGGUGGGUUUGCAAGUUCGAUGUGAAAGCCCCGGGCUUAACCCGGGAAUGGCAUUGGAUACUGCAGAUCUGGAGGAUCGGAGGGGGGACUGGAAUUCUUGGUGUAGCAGUGAAAUGCGUAGAUAUCAAGAGGAACACCAGUGGCGAAGGCGAGUCCCUGGACGAUACCUGACACUGAGGCACGAAAGCUAGGGGAGCAAACAGG